UACGGAGGGUGCAAGCGUUAUCCGGAUUUACUGGGCUUAAAGGGUGCGUAGGUGGAUUAGUAAGUCAGUGGUGAAAUCUCCGGGCUUAACCCGGAAACUGCCAUUGAUACUAUUAGUCUUGAAUAUCCUGAAGGUGAGCGGAAUAUGUCAUGUAGCGGUGAAAUGCUUAGAUAUGACAUAGAACAUCAAUUGCGAAGGCAGCUCACUGCGGGAUUAUUGACACUGAGGCACGAAAGCGUGGGGAUCAAACAGG
rnacentral:rRNA from 1 species